GCCUUGUUACAGAGGGUGGAAUGGUUCGCUGAACCUGGAACUCCCAGGGUGGACAGAGAGAGAACAGUGAGCAGGGUAACAGUCGAUGUUGGGGGACAGAAAAAGUGGUGUUGAAAGAACAGGUUGGCUUUUCCUGGAACACAUUAGGCACAAAGAAUGGCAGAGCCGGAAGCUGCAGAUGUCUGCAGACGUCAGCCGAAAGAAGGGAAUAAACCAAGUUGCUGCGACGCUGUAAAGGGCAAAAAGACUGCUCAUCCACAUCGGAAGAGGAGCAGGCUGGUUUCCCAAGUGAUUCCAAUGUACAGCAAAAUGUGAGAAGCAUGGGUCUAAAUCCGCAUCGGUACUAAGAAAAAGCACAGGAAGGGAAGAGAGUAAAGGACAGGAAGUGAUGGCAGAACUGCCAAAAUUUGGAUUACAGAAAGUAGGUCACACGAGCCUCCUCCCCGCCUGUAUUUCCCAACAUAAAUGUCUCAAAAAAAAAAAAAAAAAAAAAAAAAAAAAAAAAGAAAACUAAGAUGAACUAGAGAGAAAGAUGAAAGAUUAAACUACUUAACAAUAUUUGAGGACACGUGGACUGGGGAUUUAGCUCAGUGGCACCGCACCUGCCUCGAAAGUGCAAGGUCCUGAGUUCAAAUUCCCCAUACCAAAAAAAAAAAAAUUGCUAUAUUUGAGGAUUCCUUAGAGGGAGAGGAAGGCACCCCUGGAAGAAUGAACCUUGCAACAUAAAGUAUAUGCCUAAUAAAUAUUGUGGAUGGAUGGCUAGAAUGUCAAAGCAUUCUGUCUUCUGGCUAUGUCACACAAAAGGCAAAAGACUUGUCAUUUGAAAAUUUUAAGAAAGCAAUACUUUUUCAUCUUUUGUUCACCCAGCACUAAAGAAUUCAUUUAAUUUCUCUUUUCCUCCCCCUAGCUCAGUAGCCACAUAAAACACUCUGCAAUGUGCCAGCAACUGCAUUUAUAGCUUCUGUUUCUUUUUGAAAGUGUGC
rnacentral:lncRNA from 1 species